ACAAAUUACUUACCGAUACUGACAUAAUUUUUUUUUAUUGAAAAGAAAAAUAAAAGAAAAAAAAAUUGAGAUAAGAAGAAGGUCUUCUAUCUCAU